GGCGCGGGAUGGCGCAGGCUCGCCAUGGCGGAGCUGCAGCAGCUCCAGGUGCAGGAGGCGGUGGACACCGUGGUGAAGAGUCUGGAGAGAGAGAACAUCCGGAAGAUGCAGGGUCCCAUGUUCCGGUGCAGCGCCAGCUGUUGUGACGACAGCCAGGCAUCCAUGCAGCAGGUGCACCAGUGCAUUGAGCGCUGCCAUGCGCCUCUAGCCCAAGCCCAGGCCUUGGUGACCAAUGAGCUGGAGAAGUUCCAGGACCGCCUGGCCGGUGCACCAUGCAUUGCAACGACAAAGCCAAAGAUUCCAUAGAUGCGGGGAGCAAGGAGCUUCAGGUGAAGCAGCAGCUGGACAGUUGUGUGGCCAAGUGUGUGGAUGACCACAUGCACCUCAUCCCGACUAUGACCAGGAGGAUGAAGGAGUCUCUCUCGUCCAUUGGGAAAUAAGAGUCUUUGCCAGCGAUCAUUGGGGCUGAAGGCAAGAAUCUGUUUUUUAGAAGGAAUGGAAAUUGUUGUCUUUUAAAGCAGAGUUUUAUGAAUGAAGAAAUUAAGGAUGACAACAAGCUAAAGGCAUAUGUCACUUGCCUCUGGACGCUGGUUCCUUUA